GGGGCCGUUUAGGAUUCGACGCCGGUUGCGAAACUUUAGGUGCAUGCCGAGUUGGUAACAGAACUCGUAAAUCCACUGUUGCAACUUCUAUAGUUGCCAAUGACGAAAACUACGGCCAGGAAUUCGCUAUCGCUGCGUAAGCAGCCUUAGACCUGAGCUUCUGGUACCUUCGGGUCCAGCAAUCAUUAGGGGAUGUCCGUAAACCCAAAGUGAUUGUCAUAUAGAACGGAAUCGCCGUGCAGUACGUUGUGGACGAAUCGGCUAAAACUUACACAACUCGCCCAAAGCACCCUGCCCGUCGGGUCGCUGAGGGUUAACUUAAUAGACACGGCUACGCAUGUAGUACCGACAGCGGAGUACUGGCGGACGGGGGUUCAAAUCCCCCCGGCUCCACCA
rnacentral:tmRNA from 3 species